AGACGACCUGCCGCAAAGAGAGCUUUGUUCUGUGUAGUGCGCUCUGCCCUCAGAUCCUGCUUCUCCAGACAACCCUUUCAUUUCCUCAUCUUUUGCACAUCUUCUCUUGCUGCUCAUCUUCUAUGUUCUGGAAUUCUCCCUGCCUCUCAGAGCCUGUUGUUUGCUUUCAUUGAUGCCCUUUGUUCUUUGUGCACGUGGAGUACUGUUGAACAGAAGGCUAAAGUCUCUAGCCAACUCGAGCUGUUCCUUUUGUUCCCACCUCCCCGGCUCAGGCACUGAAGUAAAUGUAGGAACAGGUGUUUUUGAGCACCUACUAUGUUCCAGGUAUGAUACGGACUUCUAGGCACUGGGAAUACAGUGGUGAUUAAACAGCCGAAAAAUCCCUGCUCAUGUGGAAACUACAUUGUAGAGCUGAUAGGGCAGGAGAGGUAGGUAAUAAAAUAAGUCAGAUGUAUAGUGUGUCAAAAGGUGACAAGAAAGCAGAAGAGUGUAGAGGUGGGGGUGCCAGUUUCUAAAGGGUGCUCCAUGGGAGGUCCUGUUGUGGCUAAGGGGUAACAAACCCAGCUAGUAUCCAUGAGGAUGUGGGUUUGAUCUCUGGCCUCACUCAGUGGGUUAAGGAUCCGGAGUUGCUGUGAGCUGCAGUGUAGGUCGCAGGCGCAGCUUGGAUCCCGCAUUGCUGUGGCUGUGGUAUAGGCCAGCAGCUGUAGCUUCGAUUUGACCCCUAGCCUGGGAACUUCCAUAUGCUGCAGGUGCAGCCCUAAAAAGCAAGUCAGUCAUUAAAGAGUGGCUCCAGAGGGCCCUCAGUGAAAAGAUGCCAUUGACUGCAGAUCUGAAGGAGGCAUGGGAGCCUGACAUAUCUGAGGGAAGAACUCACCGUGAUUCUGUUGUAACGCUCACACUCCCAAUUGGCUACACCAGGGGCUGCCUGAGAUCAGGGACCAUGCCAGCUGGGCAUCUGUUUGCCGCCCAGGACUUACUCUCCUCUGAGAAACAGCUCAUCAAACAUCCUCUGGGAACCUCCUUCUGCAUCAGCCUGGUGCCUCGUGUGGAAUUGACACCUAUGCCCGGCUCCAGUUGUGGAGCUUAAGUUAACCAGCAUCCCUCACCUCCAUUCUCCCUGUCACAGUGAUUGGCUCAGGGCUGACAUGUGACUUAGGUGGGUCCCAUCAGACGGAACCUCAAGGCUUCCCCUGGAAAUGAUGAGCCCUGUCCUUUUUCCCCUGCUGCACAUGUAGACUCCUAGGAUACUGGAAGCCACCCAGGACAGAUGCGGGUGAGGAUUAGAUGCUGGCGAGUCUGGCCAGCAAUGGAGCCAAGCAGAGCUAGGACAUGGAGAGAAAGAAACAAAGUCCUGGCCACAUGAUUUGAGCCCCUGGAUCAAGCAUUGCCUGAAACUAGAGCUCCCUUUAGACGUGUCAGUUACUUGGACGAAUAAAUCCCCUUUAUAUUUAAACCAGCUUGAGGGUUUGUUUUGCUGUUGUUGCUACUUACAACUAA
rnacentral:lncRNA from 9 species